rnacentral:rRNA from 1 species
AAUGAACGCUGGCGGCGUGCCUAACACAUGCAAGUCGAGCGAGAAAGCGGCUUCGGUCGUGAGUAAAGCGGCGAACGGGUGAGUAACACGUGGAUAACCUGCCUGGAAGUGGGGAAUAACUCGAGGAAACUCGGGCUAAUACCGCAUAUGUUCCCACUACUUAAGUGGUGAGAGCAAAGGUGGCCUCUUCAAGAAUGCUACUGCUUCCAGAUGGGUCCGCGGCUGAUUAGCUAGUUGGUGGGGUAAUGGCCUACCAAAGCGACGAUCAGUAGCCGGCCUGAGAGGGCGAUCGGCCACACUGGAACUGAGACACGGUCCAG